rnacentral:rRNA from 13 species
UACCUGGUUGAUCCUGCCAGUAGCAUAUCUUUGUCUCAAAGAUUAAGCCAUGCAUGUUUAAGUACAUGCAGCUUGUACAGAGAAACUGUGAAUGACUCAUUAAAUCAGUUAUGGUUCCUUUGGUCACUCUUGCAGUUUGGAUAAGUGACAAUUCUAUAGCUCAGACAUGCUGAUGGGUGCAAACUCCUUUGUGGGGGGAUGUGUGCAUUUCUUAGAUCAAAACCAACCUGGUGAGCUCCUCUGCAGCCCUGGGACUGGGGAUGGGUGCUUAGAUAACCUCAGGCUGAUUGCAUGCCCCACCUUGGCAGUGAUGUCCCAUUUCAACAUCUGCCCUAUCAACUUUUAAGGCUAGUUGCUGGACCACGGGUGAUGGGGAAUCACAGCUCAAUUAUGGAGAGGGAGCCUGAAGUUCAAUUAUGGAGAGGGAGCCUGAAAAAUGGGUACCACAUCCAAGGCAGGCAACAGGCACACAAAUCACCCACUCCCAUCUUGGGGAGGUUGUGGUGAAAAGUAACAAUACAGGAACCCUUUGAGGCUCUAUAAUUGGAAUACUCCAAUUUAAAUCUUUUAACGAGGAUCCAUUGGAAGGCAAGUCUGGAAUAGUCGUGGUAAUUCCAGCUCCAAAAGUGUAUAUUAAAGUUGCUGCAGUUAAAAAGAUCCUAGUUGGAGCUUGAGAGUGGGUGGGGAAGUCUGCUGAGAGGUGAGCUACUGCCUGCCCCUGCCCCUUGCCUGUUGGUGUCCUCUUGAUGCUCUUAGCUGAGUGUCCCACAGAGUCUGAAAUAAUUUGAAAAAAUUACUGCUCAAAGCUGGCAUGAGCUGCCUGGAUACCGUAGCUAGGAAUAGUGCAAUAAGGCUGUGGUUCUGCUUUGUUGGUUUUUGGUACUGAGGCCAUGAUGAAGACGGAGGGCUGGAGGUGUUCCUAUUACAUGACUAGAGGUAAAAUUCUUCAACCAGUGCAAGACGACUAUAGCAAACCAUUUCCCAAGAAUGUUUUCGUUAAACAGGAAUGAAAGCCAAAUGAUUCAAGGUGAUCAGAUACCAUUGUAGUGCUCACCAUAAAUGAUGGUUACUGGCCAUGUGGAGGCAUUAUUCCCAUGACCUACUGGGCAGCUUCUGGGAAACAAAAGUCUUUGGGUUCCAGAGAGAGUAUGGUUGCAAAGCUGAAACUUAAAGGAAUUGAUGGAAGGGCACCACUAGGAAGUAGAGACUGUGGCUUAAUUUGACUCAACACAUGAAACCUCACAUGACCUGGACAUGAACAGGAUUGAUAGAUUGAUAGCUCUUUAUUCUGUGGGUGCUGGUGCAUGGCCAUUUUUAGUUGGUAGAGCGAUUUCUCUGGCAUGCUAACUAGUUAUGUGAUCCCAGAGCAGUAGGCAUCUCCCAACUUCUUAGAGGGAAAAAUGGUGUUGGGCCACUGAAGAUUGAGAGUAACUGGCCUUGUGAUGCCCUUAGAUGCCUGGGGCUGCAUACGUGCUACGCUGACUGGCUCAGUGUUUGCCUACCCUAUGCUGGCAGGUGUGGGUAACCUGUUGAAUGUCAUUCAUGAUGGGGAUGGAGAUUGCAAUUAUUCCCCAUGCACGAGGAAUUCCCAGUAAGUGGAAUAAUCUUGCCUUAAUUCCCUGCCCUUUGUACACACUGCCCAUUGGUACUACCAAUUGGAUGAUUUACUAAGGCCCUCGGAUCAGUCCUAGUGGUGCACUGAGAAGAUGGUUGAACUUGACAAGCGCAAGUAAAAGUCUUAAGGUUUCAGUAGGUGAACGUGCAGAAAGACCAUUA